GCUCGGGGCUGGCGGUCCCAACCCCAAUGUGAACGUUACCAAUCUGUUGCCUCGGCGGGAUUCUCUUGCCCCGGGCGCGUCGCAGCCCCGGAUCCCAUGGCGCCCGCCGGAGGACCAACUCCAAACUCUUUUUUUCUCUCCGUCGCGGCUCCCGUCGCGGCUCUGUUUUAUUUUUGCUCUGAGCCUUUCUCGGCGACCCUAGCGGGCGUCUCGAAAAUGAAUCAAAACUUUCAACAACGGAUCUCUUGGUUCUGGCAUCGAUGAAGAACGCAGCGAAAUGCGAUAAGUAAUGUGAAUUGCAGAAUUCAGUGAAUCAUCGAAUCUUUGAACGCACAUUGCGCCCGCCAGUAUUCUGGCGGGCAUGCCUGUCCGAGCGUCAUUUCAACCCUCGAACCCCUCCGGGGGGUCGGCGUUGGGGAUCGGCCCCUCACCGGGCCGCCCCCGAAAUACAGUGGCGGUCUCGCCGCAGCCUCUCCUGCGCAGUAGUUUGCACACUCGCACCGGGAGCGCGGCGCGGCCACAGCCGUAAAACACCCCAAACUUCUGAAAUGUUGACCUCGGAUCAGGUAGGAAUACCCGCUGAACUUAAGCAUAUCAAUAAGCGGAGGAA
rnacentral:rRNA from 1 species